rnacentral:rRNA from 1 species
AAUGAACGCUGGCGGCAGGCUUAACACAUGCAAGUCGAGCGGAGUGGCUGACGGGUGAGUAAUGCCUAGGAAUCUGCCUGGUAGUGGGGGAUAACGUCCGGAAACGGGCGCUAAUACCGCAUACUAUCAGAUGAGCCUAGGUCGGAGUAGCUAGUGGGUGGGGUAAAGGCCUACCAAGGCGACGAUCCGUAACUGGGCUGAGAGGAUGAUCAGUCACACGGGAACGGUGACACGGGCCAACGUCCUACGUGAGGCAGCGGUGGGGAAUAUUGGGCAAUUGUCGAAAGCCUGAUCCAGCCAUGCCGCGUGUGUGAAGGGGGUCUUCGGAUUGUAAAGCACUUUAAGUUGGGAGGCGUUACCUGCAGAAUAAGCACCGGCUAACUUCGUGCCAGCAGCCGCGGUAAUAC